rnacentral:rRNA from 1 species
AUUGAACGCUGGCGGAAUGCUUUACACAUGCAAGUCGAACGGCAGCACGGACUUCGGUCUGGUGGCGAGUGGCGAACGGGUGAGUAAUGUAUCGGAACGUGCCCAGUCGUGGGGGAUAACGUAGUGAAAAUUACGCUAAUACCGCAUACGAUCUAUGGAUGAAAGCGGGGGAUCGCAAGACCUCGCGCGAUUGGAGCGGCCGAUAUCAGAUUAGGUAGUUGGUGGGGUAAAGGCCCACCAAGCCAACGAUCUGGAGCUGGUCUGAGAGGACGACCAGCCACACUGGAACUGAAGCACGGUCCAGACUCCUACGGGAGGCAGCAGUGGGGAAUUUUGGACAAUGGGCGAAAGCCUGAUCCAGCCAUUCCGCGUGCAGGAUGAAGGCCCUCGGGUUGUAAACUGCUUUUGUACAGAACGAAAAGGUUUCUACUAAUACUAGGAGCUCAUGACGGUACUGUAAGAAUAAGCACCGGCUAACUACGUGCCAGCCGCCGCGGUAA